UAGGCUUUUCUUCCAGGCAAACGCAGCCGUUGCCGCGACUGCCAUCAGCCCCUGGUGGCGGGGAGGUGAGGGGAGGGGGGUUCCUCUGGGCUCCCCCGGGAGCCAACCGCUUACCUUCUCCCCUCCUCCCCCCGGCUUCAAGUCAGGGAAACUCUGGCCAACCCAGAUCCCCAGACUGUAAUCACGGGCAGACCCGACACCGCUGAACCGACUUGCUGCGGGAAACAGCCCCAACAAGUCCCCACUGAUUUCGCAAGCGCCCGUCGCAUCAAAGCCUCCAGCUCUGUGAGCCUCACGGAACCAGCGGGGGUACCCGGGAAGGAACUUCGACGGCCAGCUGGGCCCGGGUCGCAGGAUCAAUGUUUAAAUUGAGUGACAUCAUAAAGGAUCUAAGACCUACUUCUACUUGUAAAAGGCCCACUCAAGAAUCUCUCCUCAACUGUGCAAGGACCUGAAGAUUUUCUCCACUCAUCUGUCACUCUGUACAGCUCUCGUCAAGACUUGAAUGAACAGUCUUCACUUGAUAAAAUGUCCAGCAUGCAUGCUCAGUCACUGAGUCAUGUCUGACUCUUCGCAACCCCAUGGACUGUGGCC